UGGUCACUUUCUGCUCACAGAACUAC
rnacentral:piRNA from 1 species